GACGAACGCUGGCGGCGUGCUUAACACAUGCAAGUCGAACGGAAAGGCCAUGCUUUUGUGGGGUGCUCGAGUGGCGAACGGGUGAGUAACACGUGAGUAACAUGCCCUUGACUUUGGGAUAACUUCAGGAAACUGGGGCUAAUACCGGAUAGGAGCUCCUGCUGCAUGGUGGGGGUUGGAAAGUUUCGGCGGUUGGGGAUGGACUCGCGGCUUAUCAGCUUGUUGGUGGGGUAGUGGUUUACCAAGGCUGUGACGGGUAGCCGGCCUGAGAGGGUGACCGGCGACAUUGGGACUGAGAUACGGCCCAGACGGCUACGGUAGGCAGCAGUGGAGAACAUUGCACAAUAGGGGGAAGCGUGAGGCAGCAGCGCCGCGUGCGGGAUGAUGUCCUUCGGGUUGUAAACCGCUUUCGCCUGUGACGAACCGUGAGUGACGGUAAUGGGUAAAGAAGCACCGGCUAACUACGUG
rnacentral:rRNA from 1 species